GACGAACGCUGGCGGCGUGCUUAACACAUGCAAGUCGAACGGAAAGGCCCUGCUUUUGUGGGGUGCUCGAGUGGCGAACGGGUGAGUAACACGGGAGUAACCUGCCCUUGACUUUGGGAUAACUUCAGGAAACUGGGGCUUAUACCGGAUAGGAGCUCCUGCUGCAUGGUGGGGGUUGGAAAGUUUCGGCGGUUGGGGAUGGACUCGCGGCUUAUCAGCUUGUUGGUGGGGUAGUGGCUUACCAAGGCUUUGAUGGGUAGCCGGCCUGAGAGGGUGACCGGCCACAUUGGGACUGAGAUACGGCCCAGACUCCUACGGGAGGCAGCAGUGGGGAAUAUUGCACAAUGGGCGGAAGCCUGAUGCAGCAACGCCGCGUGCGGGAUGACGGCCUUCGGGUUGUAAACCGCUUUCGCCUGUGACGAAGCGUGAGUGACGGUAAUGGGUAAAGAAGCACCGGCUAACUACGUG
rnacentral:rRNA from 1 species